CACGGCCCAGACUCCUACGGGAGGCAGCAGUGGGGAAUAUUGCACAAUGGGCGAAAGCCUGAUGCAGCGACGCCGCGUGAGGGAUGACGGCCUUCGGGUUGUAAACCUCUUUCAGCAGGGAAGAAGCGAGAGUGACGGUACCUGCAGAAGAAGCGCCGGCUAACUACGUGCCAGCAGCCGCGGUAAUACGUAGGGCGCAAGCGUUGUCCGGAAUUAUUGGGCGUAAAGAGCUCGUAGGCGGCUUGUCACGUCGGAUGUGAAAGCCCGGGGCUUAACCCCGGGUCUGCAUUCGAUACGGGCAGGCUAGAGUGUGGUAGGGGAGAUCGGAAUUCCUGGUGUAGCGGUGAAAUGCGCAGAUAUCAGGAGGAACACCGGUGGCGAAGGCGGAUCUCUGGGCCAUUACUGACGCUGAGGAGCGAAAGCGUGGGGAGCGAACAGGAUUAGAUACCCUGGUAGUCCACGCCGUAAACGUUGGGAACUAGGUGUUGGCGACAUUCCACGUCGUCGGUGCCGCAGCUAACGCAUUAAGUUCCCCGCCUGGGGAGUACGGCCGCAAGGCUAAAACUCAAAGGAAUUGACGGGGGCCCGCACAAGCAGCGGAGCAUGUGGCUUAAUU
rnacentral:rRNA from 1 species